rnacentral:misc_RNA from 1 species
AAAGUCGUAACAAGGUUUCCGUAGGUGAACCUGCGGAAGGAUCAUUAUUGAAUGAACAUGGAGUUGGUUGUCGCUGGCCCCCUUUACCGGGGGCAUGUGCACGCCUUCUCUAUUCAUCCACACACACCUGUGAACUUGUGAGACGGAUAGUAGUCCCUCCGGGGACGAGGUCCGUCUGUUAUACAUAAACUCCAGUAUAUAAAUUUGAAUGUCAUUUGAUGUAACGCAUCUAUAAACUAAGUUUCAACAACGGAUCUCUUGGCUCUC